rnacentral:lncRNA from 1 species
CUAAGUAUUUGAGAUUAAUAGAAUUAAUCCUAUCCAAAAAUUAGGAUUAAUCCAUAUGAAAAAUUUUUGAUGGCAUAUUUUGCUUCAGAUACUCUGUUUCUUAUUGGGCUUAGCUCAGCAACCCUUAACCAAGCCACUACCUAUGAUUCACCAGUUCAUUCUUCAAUAUGCACAUGGCUAGAAUCCCUGGGAGCUUACGGUUUUAUAUCCUAUUUCACUCAACCUCGUGGGAGGAAAAUUUAGUAACAUGGACACGUUGAUUUGUUAACCAGUAGAGCAGGAUUUGAGCAGGCAGUGGAUCGUUCCUUGAUGGGUGAAAUAGUUCAGAGGCUCUAAAGCUAAUAUAAAUGACAUGGAAGAGACUUAUGGGCACAACAUAAUCAAAAGGAGUCUGACUACACAUGGCCACAACAUAAUCAAAAGCACAACAACACGUAAAAACUUUCCUUUUCCUCUCUUUUGUGUAGGAACUAUAAUAGGUAAGAUCGCAAUUAGUAGUGGCUUUACACGAGUCCUCAUUACUUUAAAAAGAUUCUGCACCUUUCAGAUAGACUAAAUACAUAGAUUUUCAAGAACAUUCUAAUUGAAAACUGGGCAUUCUACUUGUGGAAUCUUGAUUAGCAAUUGAGUUCCACUUAGAAAAUCUAAUUAUUUCUCAUUUCCUAUUUCAGAAGCUUUC